rnacentral:lncRNA from 1 species
UUGUUUUAUACGGAAUACUAUUUUGAAACAUAAGUAAAAGCCAUUAGCAGUUUUUUUGAACGGUUAGUGGGAGGGAAAAACAGAUAAACUUAUUAAUACUAAAACUAAACACGGCAAACUGGUGUAAAAAGAUUUCCCUACUAUUCUGAGAGCUGUUGACAUCCCAAGCUAUUGCUGUAUUUCCAGCUACAGAGUGGAAAAACAAACAAAAAAUAAUAACAACAAAAAAAUACCUUUAUCCAGUAUUUUUCCUUUAACCAAAACAUUUAACAAAGAAAAUGCAGAGUGCAUGCAUAUAGUAUUCUAAUUUCUAUGGAUUUGUUUUAUGGAAUUUAAAUGUGUACAAACCAACUGC